rnacentral:lncRNA from 1 species
AUGAUGGGACAAAGACCUCCGUUCGGCAACCAAAUGGAGGCAGCCAGACAACAAAAUUUAGCCAAGAUUGAGCAGCUAAGACAAACACUAGAAGCUGCCCAGAGACAAGAGUUGCAAUAUGUAGAGAUUAUGAGUCACAUGCCUCCUGUAAAACAAAUUGAACAAAAUUUGGAGCACGCUCAGUUGCAAGAAAUGCAGUAUAAAAGUCAACUUGAGGAACAGCACAAGCAGCAAUUGCGGGUCCAACUUCAGCAGCAGAUGCAACAGCAGCAGGUCGGUAUGGGUCCGCGCCCGCCACAGCAGCAAGGAGGCGGCCCUCAGCCCGGACCUGGGCAGCAGCCUGGACCUGGUGGAGUACCACAGCAACCUGGACCAGUGAACCAACAACGAAUGAUGCGUCCUCUACUAUCGAACAACAGUCCUGGCUUACGACAUCUUUUGCAGCAACAGCAGCAACCUCAGUAUCGCCAGCAAGUUAUGGGGAUGCAACCACCCAUACAGCAAGGUAUGGCACAGCAGAGACCACAGCAAAUGCUACAGAACCCAGGCCCUGGAGGACAGCAGCAACCCGGCGGUCAGCAAUUUGAUGAAGUUCCUAAUUUUGAUUUCCUUUCCUAAUUUUAUCAAAACGCCCUGUAUCUAACUCCCACCCGUUUACAUGAGCAACAUAUGUUUCCCUUAAGGAUUUUUGGCCUCAGCCAGUCUGGGAAUGCUGGGAUAGUGAUGUUCCUCUCUGUUAACAUUAUUCUUUCAGUCAUUAUUUAAUCUUCAUGUAAAAGAUGAGUGGUACGGUCUUUUGAACUAAACAGAUGGAAUGAAAGUGGACUAGAAAAAUAGAGGAAUCAUGAUUUUAUGUUUAAAGGGACAAUUUUGAAGUUGAAUAACUUUGUCGAUUGUGGAGACUGUAAAAACAGAACAUAGAAUCCCCCAGGUAAACAAGAGAUCAUCAACUUCCUCUUCCCCUCCCUUUUUAAAACGAUGAUAGUAUGUACAUAAUGGUAAUGGGGAUAAAAUUGAGAUUUUAGUGUGUAUAUGCACUUGGUAAUGAAUGUUGACUCUUCAUUUUGAUCCAACUCUCACUUGUAGUUAAGAAACUUGAAGCCCUGCCAACAUUUGGAAAAAUUUUGUUGUUUUUUUGCAAGACUUAACCCUUUCCACUCAGGUGUCGAGCAGGACUCGACAAACGUCCUUUAGGGGUUCCGCUCAGGUGUCGAGCUGUGAUCGACAAAAUUUCCGUCUCCCUCAACGCUCGGAAACAAUGUAAAAAAUGGCCAUGGAAACCUGUCUGCGCUCGUGCUGCGCUCUCUGGCGACACUACGGAACUACUUGUUAACCUGACUUCAAAAUUUCACCGCUAGGUGUCACCGGGGAGCCAUCGAUCCCAAAAACCCUCAAUUUUGGCCAAAUUAAAUCAGAGUUGGGGGAGGUUCACCUGAAAAAAAAUUUGAGUGGAAAGGGUUAAGUUUACAACAAAGCUACAGUUUCUAUGGAUGCCUACACCGCAUUUGCAUUAGGACUUUUCUGUUACAAGAUAACUCUUUCUGUGCUCGAUGUGUUUUUAGUAAAUAGAAUAGUGGAAUAGAUUUUCCAUGAAACUUUUAAAAGGGAAAGAAGAAUUAUUUGGCUUUGAAUGAGAUAAAGAAACAAUUAUUUUGAUCCCGAAAUCCUGAAAGUCAGUAUAAUUCUUUUUUACCGACUUUUCUGAUCCAGGGUUUUUAUUUACAUCUGUAAGAGUUUUGAUACUAGAGUUGGGCCGAAAUGGAAUUUUCGCGUCACCGGAACCGGAUCCGGAUAUCGGUUUUUUGUAUCCGGCCGGAUCCGGAUACCGGAUAAUUCAAAAAAGUAUCCGGCCGGAUCCGGAUAGUACCGGAUCCGGAUAGUGCUCUUUCGCGCGAAAAAUGUCGCGAUUUUUGAGGUUAAGUUUACUCGACUCACGAUCGGUCGUAGCUAACAAAAUUCGGGCCUUGAAUUUCUUUCCUUAUUUCUAGUGUCACAAUUGCAAUAGUACUAAAAUCAUGAAUUAUGAACAUUCAUCUCCAAGAUUUAAAAUUUUCAUGCCUUUAAAAACUUCCUCCCCUAACAUGUCUCAGUCAGCGUGAGAGAUAAGUGAAUAAGAAAAUGAAAAACUACUCCUGUUAACUAAAUGUGUUUCAUUCAUCAUUCAGAAAAAUUGUUAUGCGCUUGGAUACUCCAGCUUUUCCAUUUGGCUACUUCUAAUCUCAAUUUUCAAUUUAAACAAAAAAAAAACAAAAAAAAAUGAAAUUGCUAUUUAGUAUCUUUGAAAAAUAUUUUUCAGUUUACUAUUUCUACAUUCGAUUCUUUAAUAAUAAACUGUCAUUUUAUGCAGUUUAGCGUUAUCAAAUUUCUACUUUUGAAAAAUCUGCUGCUUAGACUUCACCCAUUCUUACAAAUUCAUGUAAACUUAAAAUUUUAAAAAAAAUUAAAAUACAUGUGCCUACUUUUAAUUUUUUCAUUUUAAUUCAGAUAGAUUGCUUAAUUUGCCACUUUAAAAUAGUAAAAAUAAAAAAAGGGGAAAACUGUAAUAUGUAAUAAAAAUAAACAAUGCACUAAAACUUUAGAAAUGGUGGCAUGAAUUGCAAAAUAAACUGAAUAUAAUUAAAAUUGUUCAAGACUUAGCAGCAUGUAAUUCAUGUUGAAAGAAAAAAAAAUAAACAGAGCUGUAUUGAAGGAGAAGAAAAAAAGUCAAAAGUUUCAGGAAAAAAUACAGAAAAUUGUAUUGAUAGGGAAGAAAAAAAAAGAAUAUCACCAAAAAUUUAUCGAAAUUUUCGGGGCCCAAAAAAAGCACUAUUCGGCGGGUCCAAAAACCGGAUAGCGCGAUUAUCCGGCCGGAUCCGGAUACUCGCGAAAAUCGUAUCCGGCCGGAGCCGGAUAUCCGGUAUCCGGCCGGAUAAUCCGGCAAUCCGGAUAAUCGCCGGAUACCCGGCCCAACUCUAUUUGAUACAUUUUUCAAAGUUAUUUAUAAUUUAUGCAUUUUUUAAUUUUCUGUAGCCCACAGGGGCUGGAUAUGGAACAUCAAUUAUCAUGGAGAAUUAAGUCAAUAUUUUAGUUUAUGAAAGCAUGUACCUUGGAUAAAUUAAAAAUUCUACUUUUAAAAUUGACAGAUGUGAUAUAAAAAGCCCUUUUGUUAGACAAUGGUGGACUGUAAAAUGCUAUUAUUGUAGGCGACUCUUGUUUCAGAAGAACUCAAUAACUGUAAAAAUGGCUAGAAAUUACUCAGCUCCAUCCAGCUGCAAAUUGCCGAAAGAAAAUUGCACCUGAUAAUCAGUUUUUAAGUGUGUAUUUUCGUCAGAGAAAUGAUGCUUGUGUGCAAUUAUGAAAAUUUUACAGUAAAGUGGCAGAAUGUCUUCUCUGGCAUUCUCAAUGAUGAAAAAAGGUCAUUUUACACUUGGUUUAGGGUCUCAUGAGGGCUGAAAAGAUAUUCUUUUGUUAUGGUUCCUUAUUGACCAUUUUGAAUUGUUAUUCUGAAAACCGUAAUGUUUGGCAAAAAUUAAUAAAUACUGUACAGUGGAACCCUGCACUAUCUGAACCUGUAAACUUUUUAAGUGCUGAAAAAUUGUAUAUUCUUUUAGUUAUCAAAGACAAAUUUUCUGCGCAACAUGCAAGAUCAGACCACCCUAUCUACCACUUACGGAUGAGUAAGAAUUUUACUCCGAUAUUUUUCCCAAAAGAUUUGUUUAGAUAGUUAAAAAGAACAAAUGAGGAAAAAAAACACUUAGAAGUGGCCGGAAUACUGUAUGUAACAACUGGCUUAACAAUUGGCUUUGAUUUCCCUGCGAAAUGGUGUGGACCCAGCACCAUUUCUCCACCUUAUCAAAAAGAACUACAUAUAAAUGAAUUUCAUCUUGAACAUUUCCAGUAUAUUUGUAAGAAACAAAAUAUUCAAUUGAAAGUACGUAUAACUAGUUUAUGUAUUCUUUCACUCGUUUCUUUACUAUUUCCAUGCACUGGCAAUUCUAGAGCACACAUUGCUCAUCUUUAUAAUGUCGAAUGAUGAAGGUAUUUUAUUUUCAUUCGUUUUCAACUAUUGUGUCAGCUACCUUACAAUUUCUAUUCUUACAAGCAGCACGUCAUUUUUCUUCUAAUGAAAAGUCUUUCAUUCUAACUGAAGUUUAUAAAUAAAAAUUUGAAAUUUCAUUGAAUUUCAGCAAUUUAUCUCUAACUUAUUUUAUCAUUUUACUUUUUUAUUGAAUUGAACAUGUUCUAAAGUCUCUUCUAUUGUAUUAAUACUAUCUAUUUCCUCUCUGUAGAUCAAUUUUUGUUUUCUUUAUCUGUGAUAAAUAUAUUUUGUACUUAUUCAAAGUAGUUCAUUUCUGUAAUCAUUUAGCUUCCCAAGCUGACAGCAUACUCUUUCCUAUUUUCCCGAAAUUUGACUUUCGCGAUGAUAUUUUAGUGAUAGCAUUGCAUUGUGAAAUGACUGCUCAAUCAGGAAAAAUUCAGCUAACAAAAGAUAGUACUUUCAUAAAUAUUUAAAGCUUAUUUCCACCUGUGAAUUGUGUUUCUAGUUUCAGAGUAAUAUUUACCUUGUACCUCUUUAUCCUCCUUCUAUUAUAAAAGAAAAUUCAGGAGGCAUUGCUCAAAUAUUUGUGAAAUAUUUUUGAGAAAGGGAGGAGCAUCAGUCAAGGAUUAGCGUCACAUGCCUGAGGAAGCAAUUAAAAGAAUGACUACAUCAGUAAAUGAUGAAGCAUUAUUGUUCACAAUACUUCUCAAUAUCUUGCAUUUCUUUAUUUUACCCUUUUCCUUUGCACACAGGGUAUCAGUUAAAUGAAUUGAGGAGAAACCUCCCGGUGCAAGGUGCUCCCUCAUCAUGAAAACCCAUGAUUACGUGCACAAAUUAUGAUUAUUAAUUUUUUCAUUGUUCUCUAAUGCUACUUGACUGUCACAAUACCGCUAUAAAUGGCAGCACUGGCCGGUUUUGUGGAAGAAGACCUCC